AUUGAACGCUGGCGGCAGGCCUAACACAUGCCAGUCGAGCGGAUGAAGGGAGCUUGCUCCUGGAUUCAGCGGCGGACGGGUGAGUAAUGCCUAGGAAUCUGCCUGGUAGUGGGGGAUAACGUCCGGAAACGGGCGCUAAUACCGCAUACGUCCUGAGGGAGAAAGUGGGGGAUCUUCGGACCUCACGCUAUCAGAUGAGCCUAGGUCGGAUUAGCUAGUUGGUGGGGUAAAGGCCUACCAAGGCGACGAUCCGUAACUGGUCUGAGAGGAUGAUCAGUCACAAUGGAACUGAGACACGGUCCAGACUCCUACGGGAGGCAGCAGUGGGGAAUAUUGGACAAUGGGCGAAAGCCUGAUCCAGCCAUGCCGCGUGUGUGAAGAAGGUCUUCGGAUUGUCAAGCACUUUAAGUUGGGAGGAAGGGCAGUAAGUUAAUACCUUGCUGUUUUGACGUUACCAACAGAAUAAGCACCGGCUAACUUCGUG
rnacentral:rRNA from 1 species